GCCUGGUCUAGCGGAAAGCACAGGUAUGAAACAGCACUGGAAGGCAGCACGGUAAGUGCGAUGUGGGAAAUGUGCACGGGUAUUUUGGGGUGGAGGUGAGUAACAAGGAAGCUACCCACUAGGGGAAACUUCCCAACUAGAACUUGGUUUCGUGGUGGAAACAGGACAUUCUGGCCACUUUGUAUUGUUAAGCUACGUGUGGUAGAUCCGUGGACGAUAAUGCCCCUUUCUCCAAAGGUAGCUGUAUUUUAUCUCAGGGGACAUCUUGAGUCACAAGCUAUAGAAAGCCCAAGUAACACAGUUUACGCGGCAAGGACAGUCUCAUCUCUCCUGACAGCAGUGGGAUCCCUCCGGCGUUGUUGAAUUUAGUGAUGUCUCUGAGGGUCUCCAAGAGGCAUUUUGUACCUCCCGCUCUGCCUUACUAAGAGGUGGGUGAUGUUCCUCUCCAGUGUCACCAGAUCCUGAGACCACUUGUCGCUGUUGAAGAAACCAGAAAGGAAACCUUUUCUCCUGUUCUGCUGCUGUCAAUGAGGGAAGCCUUCCGCAGAGGGCUAGUCAGCUUUUCAACAGAGCCAAAUGGCCAUCGUUAAGUUACAAACCCAGAAACCAGACCUCACUCAGUCUUUAACGUGGGCAAUGAUGCCCCUGUCACUGGCCUGGACCAACCCAGGCGUCCCCUCUGGGCUGGAGGUAGCAUCUGCUUCCCCCAGGCCUGUGGGCUUCUCGUGCCUGGGCACCCUGGAGUUCUGGCGGUGAGAAUGCAGAGCCUGCAGGCAUCAGGGACCUGGGGUCAUCCGGCAGCGCUUGUCCUACUGGCUGCGUUCACUGAAAUGGUAAUGCCUGACUCUACGACGGUGGGGAAACAGUGAGGAAAACAAGGAAAGGAAGUUUCCAUGGCGAUGUGUUUCCUGCCUUCCCUCAUACGGCCAAUAGCAAUUCUCCAAAAUUAUGUUUGCCAAGUAAUUUGCAAAUAUUUCGUGUUAUUGUUUCUCUGGCUGUGUCUCCUAGAAAGAAUACCAUCACUCUGAAAGAAGUAGAUAAAUAAA